rnacentral:rRNA from 1 species
UAGGGAAUAUUAGUAAUGGGCGAAAGCCUGAACUAGCAACGCCGCGUGUGCGAAGAAGGCCUUCGGGUUGUAAAGCACUUUUUGAGAGGAUGAGGAAGGACGGUACUCUCAGAAUAAGUCUCGGCUAACUACGUGCCAGCAGCCGCGGUAACACGUAGGAGGCAAACGUUAUCCGGAUUUACUGGGCGUAAAGCGCGUGUAGGUGGUUUGGUAAGUAGGGCGUGAAAGCUCCUGGCUCAGCUGGGAGAGGCCGUUCUAAACUGCCGAACUAGAGGAUGGUAGAGGGAGGUGGAAUUCCGGGUGUAGCGGUGGAAUGCGCAGAUAUCCGGAGGAACACCAGUGGCAAAAGCGGCCUCCUGGACCAUUCCUGACACUCAGACGCGAAAGCUAGGGUAGCAAACGG